rnacentral:rRNA from 1 species
AUGAUUCGUGGGACGUCCUGCCGGUGGUGGCGAGUCGAAAGCGUGCUCCCGUUGUGGUAUUCCCAUGACGGUUCUUGCGCGCCGGAGGCGGACCCCGAUGAAAUCCUACCGCGGUGCUCUUCGCCGAGUGUCGAGGUGGGCCGGCACGUUUACUUUGAACAAAUUAGAGUGCUUAAAGCAGGCCUGUUGCGCCUGAAUACUGUGUGCAUGGAAUAAUGGAAUAGGACCUCGGUUCUAUUUUGUUGGUUUUCGGAACCCGAGGUAAUGAUUAAUAGGGACAGGCGGGGGCAUUCGUAUUGCGACGUUAGAGGUGAAAUUCUUGGAUCGUCGCAAGACGGACCGAAGGUGAAAGCAUUUGCCAAGUAUGUUUUCAUUAAUCAAGAACGAAAGUUAGAGGUUCGAAGGCGAUCAGAUACCGCCCUAGUUCUAACCAUAAACGAUGCCAGCUAGCGAUCCGCCGAAGUUCCUCCGAUGACUCGGCGGGCAGCUCCCGGGAAACCAAAGCUUUUGGGUUCCGGGGGAAGUAUGGUUGCAAAGCUGAAACUUAAAGGAAUUGACGGAAGG